GAGGCAAUAGUGUAAUUUAGCAUAUCUCAUUUUCGCUGAGAGGGUAGGUUUGCCUUA
rnacentral:tRNA from 1 species